UACGUAGGGACCGAGCGUUGUCCGGAAUCAUUGGGCGUAAAGAGCGUGUAGGCGGCCACUUAAGUCCUGCGUGAAAUCUUGCGGCUCAACCGCAAGCGGUCGUGGGAAACUGGGUGGCUAGAGUGCGGGAGAGGAGAGUGGAAUUCCUGGUGUAGCGGUGGAAUGCGCAGAUAUCAGGAAGAACACCCGUGGCGAAGGCGGCUCUCUGGAACGCAACUGACGCUGAGACGCGAAAGCGUGGGAGCAAACAGG
rnacentral:rRNA from 1 species